UUAUGGAUCUGUGAUUUGCAGGACUUCCUAGCACAAUCAACUGUAAACACAAGCUGAUAAUGUACUGUGAGCUCGCAUUCAGAUCUCUCCCAAAAAUUACCAGCUUUAUCUACGGACUAGCAAGGAAACCCAGAAGAAGAAGAAGAAGAAAGAAGCCUGAUACAUCUGCCAUUUAUUUUACGCUACCUACUACUGAACCAUCAUGACAAAACAGAAAGAUAACUACAAUCAAAUUGAAGUGCUUUUGUAUAUAGUUGGGUACGCACAUUUGAUAUAUGAUACUACCGCAACUAGCAAGCUAGAAGAAGAUAUCUCUUUCAACUUGAUCGUAUCUUCUUGGAAGGCUUCCCAAUGACCAGGAAGACGGAGGCAAGAUCGUGCGGAACCUGAAAGAAUCCUUGAGGAGGAGGCCCCGACGCUUUUCUCCUCGGAGGCCGAGGCUUCUUUGGUGCCGGUGGACAUGCCCUGGCAGUGUGGCCAGUCAUGGGAUCAGGACACGACUUGGGGGUGCGGCACUCGUCUUCGUCGUCAGGCGAGGAGUGAAGCUGCUUUCUCUCGCACGGGGCUAAGUCGGAGAGCUUAGAUCCGGAGCUGACGACGAUGGUUCUGAUUGGGGUUGAUGGCCUGAAUUCUUCUGAGACUCCCAUUCCCAUGUCAGUUCUCCCACUUGCACAACCCCUGGCUGCUUGCUCGUGGUACGUAACGUGUCCUCUUCAGUUCACUGCGCAGUUCUGCAACUGAGAAUCCCCUGGGAUACCCAGGUUUUUAUUAUGAUCUUGGUACAAGAAGAGAGCAGAAGUGCUUGCAGAGAGGGAGAGAGACAAAGGCGUGCAUAAAGGCAAUCGAGAGGAUGAUGAUGAGUGGCGAUGAAAGCGAGACAGAUGGGAGUGAUGAGGACGAGCUACUGCUGGACU
rnacentral:lncRNA from 1 species